rnacentral:rRNA from 1 species
UACGGAGGGUGCAAGCAUUAAUCGGAUUUAUUGGGCAUAAAGGGCGCGUAGGCGGCAAUAUAAGUCAUAGGUGAAAUUCCACAGCUCAACUGUGGAGCGGCCUGUGAUACUGUAUAGCUAGAGUGUAAAAGGGGAAAGUAGAAUUCCACGUGUAGCGGUGAAAUGCGUAGAUAUGUGGAGGAAUACCGGUGGCGAAGGCGACUUUCUAAUUUACAACUGACGCUGAGGCGCGAAAGCAAGGGGAG